GCGCCCGUGGCUUAAUGGAUAGAGCAAUGGAUUCCGGUUCCAUCGGUUGGGGGUUCGAGUCCCUCCGGGCGCA
rnacentral:tRNA from 1 species